GACAUUUCUGUUGGGGAAGUCACAACAUGGGAAAACAUGACAAUUCAUUUGACAUUUAUAGCUUUACAUUCACACAAAUGCAUUCUCAUUUCAAAAACCAAACCAUUUCCUUUUCAUUUCGAACUAACACACCAGAAACCACAUGAAAUUAUAUUUCACAGACACAGUGCAUGUUUGGGUUAACAGGAAGCAGAUUAUACACUCUGCAGUUGGUCGCUUGGCUGCAUAAAUACUGCUAGGAAGGAAUAACGGUGAUGAUGAAAAGUAAGAACAUCGAUUUGUUUUCUCGAAGCAACAACGCAGAUAAACUGUUAGUUACACCAAGUAUUGGUAAUGCUGAAUCAGGAAGACAAUGCAAGUGUGUCAACGUUUCCAAAAGUCUGUUUGGUGUGUUUGAAGACUCAGGAGAAAUGCAGGACAAAUUUUUAAACAGUUUAAAACUAAAACUAGUUUGGUGUGGAGUGGAUGCAGCUUUAGCAUUGGAAGUGAAUCAAGACUCUUUUUCAGAAAUGUCCUGAAAAUGAACUCCGGAGAAUUGGGCUUUACAGCACAUCAACACCGGUGUCGGCUCUUAUCAUCACAUACUUACAUCCGGAGGCUCUCAGGAGUUCAGUGCACAUUGACAUUAGUAUGUUGUUUUUAAAAAAGAAAAAAAUUAUAUUAAGCGAUAUUUUUUUUGAACCCUUUUAUGGAUAGGAGAGAGAGUAAGCUGUGAAAGGGGCAUAGAGAGAGAGUGCAGGAGGACAUGCAUAAAUGACUGUGUUUCGGAAUCGCCUUUUUGGUGCAGAAGCUCCACCAGAAGAGCCGCACCGCACAGCGCCAAGGAAAGCCCAGCGCUAACUAUCCACUCAAUCAACUGUUAUGAAUAACAUUGAAGAUUCCAAAGUCUAUUUUUUCCGCUCGCUGCAAGCGUAUCGCGGCAGGAAACACACUGGAAAAUGAUUUUAAACGAUAUUAAUGACUUAUUUUAUGAUAUAAAUGAUAAAAUAUGCAUCCCAUUCUUUGUAUACCCCUUCUGUGGUCCUGGAGUUUUAAUUUCCCCAAUAACAUAAGCAGAUAGAUAGAGAGAGAGGGGGGGCUAUGAAGACCAUCAUAAUUUACCCCCAAACCAGUACAGUGAACGGGUUACAUACAACAACAAGCGGUGAAAGCAGAAUCGUUGGCUGACCGGCGCUGAGAAAUGCGCGUCCCGUGUGAACAGCCUGGGGCCUGCACACGCUUAAGAAUAGCGCUGCACGGGGAGCAGAGCGGCACGGCUGAGCACUUCGGCGUCCGGUAAAAACCCGCCGUUACGUAGUUGAAGAACAACAUUUGUUAUAAUGAAUUGAAAUGAAACGUUUUAGAAAUUGAAAAGGUAAAUUCAUAAUUUGUGUGGGUCCGACUCGUCGGUUUAAAAUAUUGAUGUCGACGCAUUUUCAGCUUGUCGACUAAUCGCGGCAGCCCUAAACUCAUUCCAUCCAUGUUUUGACAGACAACACAAACAAGCAUGAGAAUAGCACCCUGCUGAAGCAAUCAUGUGACUGGAAUAGAGUUACAGCUGGGCCAGGUUAGGUGGAUGCAAACAGCACUGGGUUUCGGAACAACAGCAGCAAAUGUUCUAAUGAUGGAGCUCUCGCAGAGGAGGAAAACUCUGCAUCGAUUCAGUGCUAGAACACAAUCGAAUCAGGUUUUCAGCUAUGUUUAUUGUUUCAGCGGUUUUUUACCUCUGAAUAAUUAUAACCAGCGCUAUUCCAGGACCACGAUAGACGCUCAUUAAAGGUCCAGUCGUCCUGUGUCGGAGUCUCUGUCAGCAUCACAGAUCCCAAGUUAUUAGGAAACGUACAGGACCGACGUUUACUUUGUGUUUGAUUCCCUCUAGAAUUUAGAGAAAUUGUUGACGUGUUUAAACCUGCUCCCUGGGGCUCCCCCGGCUAGGGGAGCCCGGCUCCCCGGCUAGUGUUAGGUCGCUGCUGCUACCCCUCAGACAUUUAAGUGGCCGCAUAUACAAGGGACCCCCGGGACACCUCUAAACGUUGACUCAACAGUGUGGAAGGAUGCUGUUUUAGACAGGGGAAAAAGGGUGCUGUUUUAAAUGAUUCUUGUGGUAUUUUGACCAAAAUAUGUUACAUUAAUUUCAUUAAGACCCCAAGGAACCAUAUCAACUGUGGUAAAAUGGGCAAAAUAUGUCCCCUUUAAGAAAAUGAGAAUGUACUAGGGCUGAAAGAUUUGGGAAUAUAAUCUAAUUGCGAUUUUUUUUUUCCCAAAUAUUGUGAUUGCGAUUUAAAAUGUGAUUUUUUUUUUUUUUUUUUUUU